rnacentral:rRNA from 1 species
UGCCGUUCGCGGCUGGACUAUUUAUUACCCUUGUCUUUUGCGCACUUGUUGUUUCCUGGGCGGGUUCGCUCGCCACCAGGACCACAAUAUAAACCUUUUUUAUGCAGUUGCAAUCAGCGUCAGUAUAACAAAUGUAAAUCAUUUACAACUUUCAACAACGGAUCUCUUGGUUCUGGCAUCGAUGAAGAACGCAGCGAAAUGCGAUACGUAGUGUGAAUUGCAGAAUUCAGUGAAUCAUCGAAUCUUUGAACGCACAUUGCGCCCUUUGGUAUUCCAAAGGGCAUGCCUGUUCGAGCGUCAUUUGUACCCUCAAGCUUUGCUUGGUGUUGGGCGUUUUUGUCUUUGGCCCGCCAAAGACUCGCCUUAAAAUGAUUGGCAGCCGGCCUACUGGUUUCGCAGCGCAGCACAUUUUUGCGCUUGCAAUCAGCAAAAGAGGACGGCAAUCCAUCAAGACUCCUUCUCACGUUUGACCUCGGAUCAGGUAGGGAUACCCGCUGAACUUAAGCAUAUCAAUAAGCGGAGGAA